rnacentral:ncRNA from 1 species
AAGUAUCCCGCCUGGGGAGUACGUUCGCAAGAAUGAAACUCAAAGGAAUUGACGGGGGCCCGCACAAGCGGUGGAGCAUGUGGUUUAAUUCGAUGCAAAGCGAAGAACCUUACCAGGGCUUGACAUGCCGCGAAUCCUCCUCAAAGAGAGGGGUGCCCUCAUGAACACGGACACAGGUGGUGCAUGGCUAUCGUCAGCUCGUUCGUAAGGUGCUGGGUUAACUCUCGCAACAAGCACAACCCUCGUAUUUAGUUGCCACUAUGAGUUUGGAACCCUGAACAG